CAUGCACCUGGCAUACAAUGUAGACAUCUGUAUUUAUUAAGAAACAGCUACAUUGUCUGCUGGGUUUCAA